rnacentral:rRNA from 1 species
AUGGAGGUUCCGGAAGAUCGUAGAGUUCUUUUGGUCGCAUACAAGCUGAAAGGAGGAGCCGGUGCAUGGUGGCAUCGCGUUCAAGAAGAGCGCAGGCUGAGAGGAGAACCUCGUGUGAGAAUUUGGCGGCAAAUGAAAAGUCCCUUGAAAGGGAGAUUUUUGCCCGCUGAUUAUGACCAGAUCCUAUUUAUCCAAUUUCAAAAUUGUGCUCAAGGAAAUAGGACUGUUUUAGAUUACAUGGAGGAGUUUCUAAGGCUACAAGUGAGGUGCAACCUUGCUGAAACUGAAGAUCAACAAGUUGCAAGAUACAUCAAUGGUCUCAAUGAUGCUAUUGAAGAUCGAUUGAUGAUGCAACAAAUCUGGUCCGUUGAUCAAGCACAAGCUCUAGCCUUAAAGGCCGAGAGGUUUGUGAGGACAAGAAAGGCAACUAAAGCUCCAUAUCCUCAUACCGAAGGCUCGUCUAGGAGUCAGCCUAAUAGAGUGGAAGAAAAGACCGCUCCACCAAAGGCAAAACGACCCAUCCAAAAGCAAACUAGAGGCAAGGGUAAGUCUAAUGAAGGCCCAAAAUGCUAUAAAUGUGGUGAAGAGGGACACAUAUCCAACGGCUGCCCACUAAUGAAAUUUGUUAACACAACUAUCCAUGAUGGUGAAGGCGAUGAGGAAGAAUACGAAUCUGAAGAUGUAGAGGGACAAGAGGUUUGUCAAGAAGAAGGUGAAGAGGUGGUAUGUGUGAUUCAGCGUCUCCUAUGUUCCACACCACAACCUGACGACACACAACGGAAGAAAAUAUUUGAGAGCAAAUGCACAGUGAAUGGCAAGGUAUGCAAGUUAGUGAUUGAUAGUUGCUGUUGCGAGAAUCUUAUCUCCCAGAAGUUGGUGAGCCAUUGA